CUGUCCUGGGCAUAGCCCAUCUGAUGAAAAAAAAAGGCCUCCGCUAUGCUCACUGGAGUCUCACUCGGCCACCCCUCUCCUCUCCCUGACCUAGCCGCCACCUCUGUCUCCCGCGAACUCCAUGGCGACUGCGGCCUGAUCUGCAUCCCCGCCGCCCCUGCUGACCCCGUCUACCACGCCCUGGUCUUCAAAUCGCGGCUGCCGCACUUCAACCUCGCCGCCGCCAGGUCCGGCACACCGUCGCCGCCGGCCGGGAGAGAUGGAUGAUGAGGCGCAGGAGACUCCAAAUGUUGGUGAUCUUCCCAAGAAGGCCCCCAAGGUGAUGAAUUGGACUCCACCCAUGUCUGCGUUGAUGUUGAAAGGCCUUUCAGAGGUGGCGGCAAGAGGUGCCAAGACUGAAAAAGGAUUCAAUGAGGUAAGUGUCUUCAGAGAACAAAUUCUCCAACUUGCUGGGAUUGCUUGUCAUGAAGAGGAGGGAAAAUCACGGACAGAGCUACUGGAGAAGCUCAAAACAUGUAACAAGGUUAUGCUAGUUGAACUGUGCCGUUCAUUUGAUGUCCCUGGUUCAACAAGCACUAAGAAGGAUGAAUUAGUGACAAUAGUGAUGGAGUUCUUGAUGGAACACUGUUCUGGUAUUAUUUACACAGAUCCUGAUAAGGCUCAACUUCUUAGCUGCCAGAAAUUUAAGAAAAGAAAGCGCAAGAAGAAUGGAGCGGAUCUAUCUGGUGGUGAACCUUCCAAGAAAAGGAAACCAGAUGGAACUCUACUGGAAUUUUGUAGUCAAGAGGAAGCAGAUGGGAGAAAAGCUGUAGAAGAUAGAACAAACCAUUCCGAGUUCAGCUUGAGGGAUAGCAGAGAUGAGCUGGUAAAUGACUCCGCGUUGGGGAAAUUAGCUGUAGUUCCACUGCCAGGAGUACCGUUUCCUACAGAUGAACAAACGCUAAUCACAACACCAUCUGCAAAGUUAUUUAGCAAUGUUGAGAAUGAUACCAUGGAUAUGGCGGCUUCAAUGAAGAAAAACAUUUCUGUUACCAAGAAAAAGGCAAUCCAAAACACAGAUUCCAAGGAGAAAUCUGGUGGUAAAACUAUGUCUAGAGGAGAUGCGAAACCAUGGAAGCAGGCACCGAAACCAAGUAAGGAUGAGCUGAGACAGGCUGUCUCCUGUAUAUUGGGUGCUGCAAAUUUUGCCACGAUGACUUUUGGAGAGGUUGUAAAAGCAGUUGACAAAUACUUUGGCAAGGAUUUGUUUGAGAGGAAGCCGCUGGUAAGGGCCUUGAUAGAGGAGGAGCUGUUUAGGCUAGCCAAGGAGGCUGAGAGGAAGGAAGUGGAAGAGGAGGAAGCAAUGGAAGCAAAAGUAAAAGCUGCCAAGGACAGCGCAAGGGAUGGAAGAGUUGAAUCAGACAUAGACAAGGAGGAAUAUGAAGUUGAAGCUGGUCCAGAUGGUAAAUCUAAGGAUGCUGAAAAGAUUGGCAACAGCAAGAGUAGUGAUAAAGGUGGUAAAAGUGGGAUUUGUGUGAAGGCUGGCGAGAAGGGAAAUAGCAACGCUGCUGCCGCUGAAAAUUUACAAGAUGGAAAGUCCGAAGUUGACGACACAAGGAAGAAAGAAUUUAGCAAGGAUUGCGAGGCUGAAAAGAUUGUGCAGAAUGCAAAUGGCGAUGGUGGCAUGGAAAUGUUGAGGGAUGGUGAAGCUGAAACUGGGAAUAAUUGCAACGGUAACACCAUAGGAGGUUCUGGAGAAAAAGAUGACACUACAGAUGGCAGAUGUGAAGAAGGCAGGGCUGAAAAAGAUGCAGAAAAUGCUGGUGACUGUGAACCUGAAGAAUCUGAAACUAAUGAACCAGAAGCAGAAGUAAAAGAUGUGAAAUCUAAGGAAGCCAGUGGCAAUGAGAUUACCCUAUCCCAUGGUGCUAACUAAAUGUGGCAAAACAAAAUAGAUGCUAGGCAACAUGAUUACUGAAGCGAGACGCGGAUGAUGGUCGAGCGGAAGAUUCUGAAGGCAGUACAAGCACCAAAAUUGAUAACUGCUGCUUUACUUGGUGACAAGGAUGGGCGGGCGGACGGACGGACGGCCUGGAUUGGUCUGACAUGGCAGUAAUAGACGGUUGUCCAAUGUGACAGGUGGAACAUACUUAUCGACUGACCAACGGCUGGCUUGGCUCCACGUUCACAGCUCCAUCCCUUCUUAUCCGCGCAAUCCAACGGACCGGACCCAGCCAAGCCAUUCCCCACCACCCUCUCCCAG